UAAGGAAUAUUGGUCAAUGGACGCAAGUCUGAACCAGCCAUGCCGCGUGGAGGAUGAAGGUCCUCUGGAUUGUAAACUUCUUUUAUCUGGGACGAAACACUUCUUUUCUAAGAGGCCUGACGGUACCAGAUGAAUAAGCACCGGCUAACUCCGUGCCAGCAGCCGCGGUAAUACGGAGGGUGCAAGCGUUAUCCGGAUUCGCUGGGUUUAAAGGGUGCGUAGGUGGGUAUGUAAGUCAGUGGUGAAAUCCCCGAGCUUAACUUGGGAACUGCCAUUGAUACUAUAUAUCUUGAAUACCGUAGAGGUAAGCGGAAUAUGUCAUGUAGCGGUGAAAUGCUUAGAUAUGACAUGGAACACCAAUUGCGAAGGCAGCUUACUAUGCGGUGAUUGACACUGAGGCACGAAAGCGUGGGUAGCAAACA
rnacentral:rRNA from 1 species